ACCUUUUGUAUAAUGGGUCAGCGAGUUACUUUCAGUGGCGAGGUUAACUGCAUAAGGGAGCCGUAGAGAAAUCGAGUCUGAAUAGGGCGAUAGUCGCUGGGAGUAGACCCGAAACCGGGCGAUCUAGCCAUGUGCAGGAUGAAGGUUGGGUAACACCAACUGGAGGUCCGAACCGGGUAAUGUUGAAAAAUUAUCGGAUGACGUGUGGCUAGGAGUGAAAGGCUAAUCAAGCCCGGAGAUAGCUGGUUCUCCCCGAAAGCUAUUUAGGUAGCGCCUCGUGAAUGAUUACUGGGGGUAGAGCACUGUUUCGGCUAGGGGGCUGUCAUGGCUUACCAAACCGAUGCAAACUCCGAAUACCGGCUAAUUGAAUCACGGGAGACACACGGCGGGUGCUAACGUCCGUCGUGGAGAGGGAAACAACCCAGACCGCCAGCUAAGGUCCCCAAGUACUAGUUAAGUGGGAAACGAUGUGGGAAGGCAUAGACAGCCAGGAGGUUGGCUUAGAAGCAGCCACCCUUUAAAGAAAGCGUAAUAGCUCACUGGUCGAGUCGGCCUGCGCGGAAGAUGUAACGGGGCUAAAACUAGUCACCGAAGCUGCGGAUGUGCGCGAAGGCGCACGUGGUAGGGGAGCGUUCUGUAGGCUGAUGAAGGUGCAUUGAGAGGUGUGCUGGAGGUAUCAGAAGUGCGAAUGCUGACAUGAGUAACGAUAAUGUGGGUGAAAAGCCCACACGCCGGAAGUCCCAGGUUUCCUGCACGACGUUAAUCGGAGCAGGGUGAGUCGGCCCCUAAGGCGAGGCUGAAGAGCGUAGUCGAUGGGAACCAGGUUAAUAUUCCUGGACUUUUUAUAAGUGGUGAAGUGGGGACGAAGAAGGCUAGGUGAGCCAGGCGUUGGUUGUCCUGGUACUUGCAUGUAGGGGGGAAGACUUGGCAAAUCCGGUUUUCCGAUACUCUGAGGUGCGAAGUGGUUCUGACCUUUUGGUACAGAGAAGUCAUUGAUGCCCGGCUUCCAGGAAAAGCUGCUAGCCAUAACUUAUAGAGAACCGUACCGCAAACCGACACAGGUGGACAGGUAGAGAAUACUAAGGCGCUUGAGAGAACUCGGGUGAAGGAACUAGGCAAAAUGGUACCGUAACUUCGGGAGAAGGUACGCCCUUUCUGGUGAUGGGAUUUACUUUCAGAGCUGGAGAGGGCCGCAGAGACCAGGUGGCUGCGACUGUUUAUUAAAAACACAGCACUCUGCAAAUUCGUAAGAAGACGUAUAGGGUGUGACGCCUGCCCGGUGCCGGAAGGUUAAUUGAUGGGGUUAUCUUCGGAGAAGCUCUUGAUCGAAGCCCCGGUAAACGGCGGCCGUAACUAUAACGGUCCUAAGGUAGCGAAAUUCCUUGUCGGGUAAGUUCCGACCUGCACGAAUGGCGUAACGAUGGCCACACUGUCUCCACCCGAGACUCAGUGAAAUUGAAAUCGCUGUGAAGAUGCAGUGUACCCGCGGCUAGACGGAAAGACCCCGUGAACCUUUACUAUAGUUUUGCACUGGACUUUGAUGAUGACUGUGUAGGAUAGGUGGGAGGCUGUGAAGUGAGGACGCUAGUUCUCAUGGAGCCGCCCUUGAAAUACCACCCUGUUGUUAUUGAGGUUCUAACUUGGUCCAGUAAUCCUGGAUGAGGACAGUGUAUGAUGGGUAGUUUGACUGGGGCGGUCUCCUCCCAAAGAGUAACGGAGGAGCACAAAGGUACCCUCGGUACGGUCGGACAUCGUACCAAGAGUGUAAAGGCAAAAGGGUGCUUGACUGCGAGAGUGACGGCUCGAGCAGGAACGAAAGUUGGUCUUAGUGAUCCGGUGGUUCUGAAUGGAAGGGCCAUCGCUCAACGGAUAAAAGGUACUCCGGGGAUAACAGGCUGAUACCGCCCAAGAGUUCAUAUCGACGGCGGUGUUUGGCACCUCGAUGUCGGCUCAUCACAUCCUGGGGCUGAAGCAGGUCCCAAGGGUAUGGCUGUUCGCCAUUUAAAGUGGUACGCGAGCUGGGUUUAGAACGUCGUGAGACAGUUCGGUCCCUAUCUGCCGUGGGCGUAGGAAAAUUGAGAGGAGCUGCUCCUAGUACGAGAGGACCGGAGUGGACGAACCUCUGGUGCACCGGUUGUCACGCCAGUGGCAUGGCCGGGUAGCUAAGUUCGGACGGGAUAACCGCUGAAAGCAUCUAAGCGGGAAGCCUCCCUCA
rnacentral:rRNA from 1 species